CACGGUUUAGCUCAGUAGGUAGAGCGCUUGCUUUGGGAGCAUGAGGCCGAAGGUUCGAGACCUUCAACCGUGACCA
rnacentral:tRNA from 1 species